rnacentral:lncRNA from 1 species
GCCCAGAUAGGGGAGCGGAGGUGGCGGCGGCGGCGGUAGCGGUGGCCUUGGUUGUCUUCCAGUCUCCUCGGCUCGCCCUUUAGCCGGCACCGCUCCCCUUCCCUCCCCCUUCCUCUCUUCCUUCCUUCCCUCCCCUUCCCUUUUUCCCUUCCCCGUCGGUGAGCGGCGGGGGUGGCUCCAGCAACGGCUGGGCCCAAGCUGUGUAGAGGCCUUAACCAACGAUAACGGCGGCCGGGGGCGCGGCGGUGGUCGAGACCAGAACGGCCUUUCCAAGGGCGGCGGCGGCGGUUACAACAGCUACGGUGGUUACGGCGGCGGCGGAGGCGGCGGCUACAAUGCCUACGGAGGCGGCGGCGGCGGUUCGUCCUACGGUGGGAGCGACUACGGUAACGGCUUCGGCGGCUUCGGCAGCUACAGCCAGCAUCAGUCCUCCUAUGGGCCCAUGAAGAGCGGCGGCGGCGGCGGCGGUGGAGGCAGUAGCUGGGGCGGUCGCAGUAAUAGUGGACCUUACAGAGGCGGCUAUGGCGGUGGGGGUGGCUAUGGAGGCAGCUCCUUCUAAAAGAAAAUUUAAAAUGCCUGGGAGUGGCUAUAGGGGUAGCUCUUUCCAACAGCCCAAGUGGGGUCAACUCCUAAGCCCCACCCCCUCACACACACCGCCUUCCCUGUUUUGCCCUUGGGGGAGCCACUUCUAAGGCUGCUUACCCUUGGGGGUGUUCCUCUAUUUGCCUGCCACCUCUCUUGUCUCUCCCUCUGAAGAUGGACUCGGCCCCACAUACACAUUUUUGUGUUACAGUCAUUGAUGGACUCUAUUUUUUUAUUAUUACUUGGACCUUGGUCGUUUUUAUACUAGCAAAAUGUCUUGUUUUAAUUUGUGUUUUUUGGGGGGAGGGAGGGAGUGAACUUGCUGAUUCUGUAGCAAAACCUGGGUGGGGGUUGGGGUGGGGGGUAGUUUACUUUGUUGUAAGGACUUGAUAACCUGGCUACAGCGUUUUCUAUGAAAUCUACUUGGAUCCCAUGCCUGAAAUUUGGAAGCAUAUGUACAAAAAUCAUUUUUACGUUUUAUUUUUAAUAAAUCAUUGUGUUUGACCGUACAUGUCUAACAUUUUUUUUCUAGGAUCCAUUCCGUACCGUUUUUUAAGGGAUAUUUGUUUAAGACUUUACGUGUUAAUUCUUUAUUCUUGAUGUGUACUUAGAGAAACUUAAGAGGUCCUGUGGUUUUUUUCCCCUCUCCUGUUGCCCUGCUAGUUGCGUGUUGAAUUAUAUCCCUUACAGGCAAAACUUUUGAAGUGGUGGAUGUGGCUUUUUAAACUCUUAAGUUUCUGUGCAUCCAUCUCUUGUACUAAGCGAAUUGUUUAUCAUCUUGACAUGGUUGGUCAUUUCUAUGACAAUUUACUUCAAACUGUGUACUGUGUAGUUCUAUAUAGUUUGUGUUAAGCAUGUCAUUCAUAUAAACUGUUUAAAAUUUUUCAGAUGGCCUAGUUUCAUCCCUCUUACUGGUUUGUCUGUAAUGAAUGGUUAAAAAUAAGGGUUAUAUUUUACCCUCAAAUGCGUUUUUGUACUUUCAGAGCAGGUUUAAACGUUUUUUUUUUUUUUUUCCUAUAUCCGAACUGUUGGCCUCAUGGAAAUCCCUUUCCCGAUCUUUGUAGCACCAUCUACUGGCAGAAUGGCAGAGUAGCUGCGAAACAAUUUGUUUAAAAACUUGCUUAAGACAAUUGCAUCAGAUUUGGAAGUUUUGCCAUCAAAAUUCUUUGCAGAAUUGGAAGUUAACACAUUUGCUUGUAACUGAGAUGGGCUUCACAGGAAUGUAGUUGCCAGUUCAUAUCACAAUAGCCCUUUCUAUAUGAGGUUUGAAAAUGUAAACUGCUAUGCAUAGCUUGGGCAAUAGCCCUAAAUUGCUAUGACAACUAAUGAACCAGCUACGUAUACUGGUAUUUUAGGUGCAAGUUGUAAAGCAAAAUAUCUGUGUAUUCUGCUUGGUUAACAAAUGUAUAUUUGUAGCCCUUUCCUGCAAUAGCAUUCAAGUUGUUGUUUAUAAGAGAAGAACAAAAGUGAUAAUAGGUGAAAAUUGCCUUUCUGGAUAGAAAUAGAGAAUAGCAACGUUUAUGGAUAUCACAAAUAAAGAAUUCAAUUCUUUACAUGAUUGAGUGAGAGUAUGUAUAACCUGGUGGGUGGGUUCAGAGUACCUUUUAAUCUAGUAUGCUUAACUUGAUGUUAAUAUUUAACUUAAAUAUUUGACUUACAUGUUGACGUUGAAGGCUCAAAGCUAUACUAAGAAGCUUUCUGAAAGAUUGGGCUUUAAAAUAAAAUAAUAUUUUAAUAUUG